UAGAUACUCGAGCACGGCUAAGUCUUCUUUCUCCACCCAAUGGAUGCAGUCCAUUGGGCAUGAUUCAACUGCUACCUGUUACAAGAAUUCGCAUGCAACAUCUGAUCGACGUAGAUUUUGAUCUCCAUCUGGAUUGGUAAUAACAGAAGGGUGGAUUUAGAUAGCCACUGGAAUAGUGGAACUGGUUCUCCAAUAUUUUUAGUACAAAAACUGUACCCUUAAAUGUUGACAAGUGUCAAAGUCUCUUCUAAUCUUUACAAGAUAUCUAAGGAAUAUGAUGAAGUUUUAUCUAGUUUCCAAAAUUUUCUGUCAAA